rnacentral:rRNA from 1 species
ACUCCUACGGGAGGCAGCAGUGGGGAAUAUUGCACAAUGGGGGGAAACCCUGAUGCAGCCAUGCCGCGUGUGUGAAGAAGGCCUUCGGGUUGUAAAGCACUUUCAGUAGGGAGGAAGGUAGUGUAGUUAACACCUGCAUUAUUUGACGUUACCUACAGAAGAAGCACCGGCUAACUCCGUGCCAGCAGCCGCGGUAAUACGGAGGGUGCGAGCGUUAAUCGGAAUUACUGGGCGUAAAGCGCAUGCAGGCGGCCUGUUAAGUCAGAUGUGAAAGCCCGGGGCUUAACCUCGGAAUUGCAUUUGAAACUGGCAGGCUAGAGUCUUGUAGAGGGGGUUAGAAUUUCAGGUGUAGCGGUGAAAUGCGUAGAGAUCUGAAGGAAUACCGAGUGGCGAAGGCGGCCCCUGGACAAAGACUGACGCUCAGAUGCGAAAGCGUGGGAGCAAACAGGAUUAGAUACCCCUGGUAGCACAGAG